rnacentral:lncRNA from 1 species
UAAGUAACGAGCUGGAAAUAUGUUGAUUUUUUUCUUUGUGUGUGUUUAUUUGCAGCAGCUUUUUCUUCUGGUUGUGGCUGGGUUGAUGAAGGAGAGAGAGGCUGAGGAUUGCUCCCUGCUGGGAAACAGCCCCAGGACCACACACGUGAGCUGCACCCAGGAGGGUGGAAACAUCUUUCUUGUCUUGCAAGCUUGGGAGGACCAGGGAAGUCAAACCAGCAGUGGAAAAGCCUUCAGGGCUCUGCACGGCUCGUGAGAUGGGGCUGAUGCUUCCUUUGACUCACGUAAAAGCAGCCUUGGCUGAUCCAAACCCUUGUGGCUGCCCCAUCCCUGGAGGGGUUCAAGGCCAGGUUGGACGGGACUUUGAGCAACCUGGUCUGGUGAGAGGUGUCCCUGCCCAGGGCAGGGGGUUAAAACUGGAUGAUCUUCAAGAUCCCUUCUAACCCAAACCAUUCUGUGAUUUUCUGGUGAUGAACCAUGGUGCGCAUCACGGAACAGAUGUCCCAGUGAAGUCACGUAGUCCUUGCCUUUUGUUGAAGGACACCAAGAAGAAAAAUGUGGGCUUCACAGCAGCAGGGUGAGAGGUAGAACCCAAAGCUCUGCUUUCCACCUUGGCAUGGUGAAACCUUUGCCUGUGGCCACCUAAGAAAGGAGAGGAUGGGAGAGAUAUUUUGUGUCCCCACUGGUCAGUGCUGAUGUCCCACGAAGAAGUGGCAUUCCCAGGAUGACUCCCUGGUCAACGAGGACACGCAAGGCUUCCUGGCUGGAUCCCACCAGGAAAAGGCAGCAGGGGGAGUGAGCAGUCAGAAGCUCAUCAGAUGCAGGGGACUUUGCAUCUUCUCAGCUUGGGAUGGAAGAGAGCAGCUCAGCAUCGCUGCCAACCUUGACUUGAUAACUACCUUGGGUGUUAUCUCAAACAUGCUCCCCGUGUGACAUCCCAACCAGGAGACUUCUCCACAGGGAGGUUGUUUUCAGCGUCUCUCUUCGCAUUCCUGGCCUUGGAGGGCUUGGGGUUGAGUUGAAAAUUCAACUUGACCUCCCUAAAUACUGCUGGGCUUCGGUAUCUGGUGGCAUCUGAGGAGGGUUUUAAGCAGGGACCUGUUACCGGCAACAGCCAGCACUGGGCUGAGAGCCAGGAAGCAUCAGCCAUUCCUCUUUGGUCAGCAGUCCUGUGGGUUGGAUGGUUUCCAUCGCUUCCAAACCACCUUUUUAAGCUAAAAAAACCCCAAAAAACCACUAUUUACAAUUAGAAGGGC